UGUUUAUUGCUUAUAGUAUUGAGAAUAGAUCUAGACCAUUUUCAUUGUAAAUUUCUUGGAAUAAGUUUUAUUCUUUGCGAAAAAUGUCUAACUACGCGUAAUUGCUAAACGGCUGUUUUCAUGGGGGGCAUUUUUAGACGGUGAUGUUUGUCAGAACAGAUUAUUUUUCUUAUAUACAACAUAACAUGUCAAUAUUUUUCUAUUUUUGAUAAGAAGACAUGUUAUACUAAAUGCCCAUUAUAUGGUUUUCAUAUCAUUGAAAUGCUGUAAAGUGCUGAAAAUGAGGUCUGAAUGUUUUGUUAUUAAUAUGAAAUAAAUAAGGAAUUGAAUUGGUAGAAUGUAACCUGUACAGGAAAACAUCGAAAUUUACAAGUAUAUCCAAUCUGUACUGCAGUAAACCAGAGUGUAACUGUUAACAAAUAUGUUGUGUAUUAGAUUACCAUAAAAAUUCAGCCGAAUCACUUAAGAUAAAACCAGAAAUUAGCCAAAAUAAAAUUAAAGAAAGAAGCGUGCUAUUCACUCUUGAAUGUUGACGAAGAAGGAAGAUGACGGUAUCACGUGAUAAAAGGAAUUCCCCCUGAUUGGCUUUUACCGUAGUACAUAAAUUAACUUAAUUCAGAAUGUGACAGAUUCGCCCAAAUGUACAACAAUGACAUAAAUAAUUUUAUCUACCUAUUAAAUUCAUUUGUUCAUGUUUUUGGUCAAGACUGAGUAAUGUCGCAAACAUUAAUCCGCUCCUACGCAUACUGAUUCAUUUAAACGUGAGCAGAAUUAAUUACAUCCGUAACCGGUGGUUCAUCCACAUGUUGGUUUUUCCCGACUUAAUUUUAGUUUAAGCUAUUCAUAACAAUUUUAAACUAGUAUAGGGGGAAUUUUAUGUUUAAAAAUAUGCUGCUAAAUAUAGCACAGAUAAUAUUAUAUAAGAACGAUGUUGCCCGUUGUUAAACCAUAACGAUUUUAAGUUAGAAAACUACAAAUUUCAUUUUUACAAAAUAAAUAAGAAAAACAGAAUCGAGGAUGAAGACAACUUUUGUAGCAACAGCUCUUAUAUUCGUGAUUAUGCUCCAGACGUUCUCAGAAAUAGACGCUAAGCCGAUAACGUUACGUAAGCUUAUUAGACGAUUAACAAGACCAGGCCAGUGCUGCAGACGACAAUGCCCUAUGGGUAAAGCAUGUGUGAGGAUCGGUAGCAGAUGCAGAUGUAGAAAUUUGGUUUUCCUCGGUGUGGCAUGAUAUACCUCGUGCUACAGCAUGUGUGCUCUAUGUGAACUCCGGACCCAGCUUGAGUUUUACACAUGGAACCAUCCGUUUAAGACAUUUCCAACUGUAGAAUCGUAAAACGUUUAUCGAAUGUCACAAUACUACAUCGCAGUUGCCAAAUAAAUACUUAAUGAAUGGUUGGUGUUUGAAGGUGGCAGAUAAGUAAUAUGCUUGUUGUUGAAAUGUGUGACAUAUGCUUUCUGAUAACAAGCUACAUGUAUAUACUGCAUCAAGUUGAAACAGAAUUAACAUUCCAAACAUUUGGUCUGUUGACCGGAUAUGCGUGACGGCAUAUAAAAAGCAAAGUGAACGUGUUGAGGAUGUCAGCUUAUGUUGAUUGUUUUACAUAAAUAAUUGUUCUGUCGUGAAUUCAGUAAUCAGAUGGAGCUAAUACACCACUCCAAAGGACUCUAUGUAUGGUUAUAGGAACUUUUUCAACUGUAAAGAUGCCUAGUCAAAUUUAUUCUGUUGCCAAACUUGUGUGAACCAUUUUGAAUAUUUUUCCUUUUAUUUUACAAUAUUUACUGUUGAUUACAGAUUCUUUAUCAAAAUAUUCUGAAACAAGUUUUGAUGAUCUGAAAAGAGCAAUGGAUUCUAUAUUUCAGAAAAACAAUACGAAUAAUACAUGAUUUAUUGCUUAUUAAAUAAUAGAAAAUGAA
rnacentral:lncRNA from 1 species